rnacentral:lncRNA from 13 species
GGGAAAUGUCAACUGGAUUAAUGGCUGAGAGUAAUGACAGAAGAAUAUUCACUAUAUCAAAAGUAUAGCAGUAGUAAUUUGAAAUAACAAAAACACACUGUUUGUGAUUUUCUCUAUUUUUCUUUUUUCUUUCAAGGGUGACACUGGGUUAACUGGACCCCCUGGGCCCCCAGGAACUGUUAUUGUGACGUUAACUGGGCCAGACAACAUGACGGACUUGAAAGGAGAAAAAGGAGAAAAAGGAUCAAGAGGACCCCUAGGGCCAAUGGGGUUUACAGGGCCAGUUGGUGAUUCUCAGAGUGAAAAGGGUGACCGAGGAGAACCAGGAGCACAGGUAUGUGCAAACAGUUGAAUACACAUGUGUUAGUCCUUUCUGGAAAGCAGUUUUGAACUAGUGUUGCUGUCCAGGUUUUGCCUCACUGCUACUUGGAGCAAAUUUGCUUAGAUUCAAAAGCUCUUUCUUGCAGUAAACUAGACAAGAGCUGGAAGUCAAGUGACUUAAAUGAGUACUUUGAGUGAAGGUCAGUUGCUUGUGAGUAUGCUUCCAUUUUUUUUGCUAUAAAGGCUCUGCUGUUGAACUUAGUAAAAAAGUGCUCUGCUAUACAUGUACUAGCUUUAUAAUGCAAGGGUAUAAGUAGAAGAGAAAACACUGGGUUUACUUGAGGCAGCAGAUUUAAAUUAGUAUGUUCAACCAGCAGCUGUGUGGAGACAUGAAGAAAAGUUGCCUAAGAGUUAUUCCAUUAACAGCAUAGUAUAUGAAAAAAUAAUACGUUUAUUGUAAAAAGUAUACAUAUUAAAAUGCAUUUUACCUGAUUAUAUCUUUUUUUGGAAGAUAAUUAAUGGAAAGCUAUUACUUUUAUUCAAAUGCCCUUCAACUUGAAGAGAAAUUACUUAAUGAAAAGGAAUAGGGAGUGCACUUCAAAGGUAUCUGAAGCAGGGCAGUAGAUGGAAAAGUGAAAACAGAAGGAAGAAGCAUGUUUUGUCAUUUGUCUUGUUUCUGCAAGAGCCUGAUUUUUCACCAAGCUUUCUGUACUUCCCUGGCACUUUGUACUGGUGAAGUCUGGCAGAAGUAAUCCUCCACAGGAGGAGGAAUGUCAAUGGAAUAUCUUACUACUUGUUUUGUAGAGUUUUAUGAACUCUAGUUGUGAUUAAUG